UUUAGUUUGUGUCUCUCAUGAUUGUAAUUUUAUAUGUUUAAUUUUGGAGGACAGUUGUGUUAUGUGAUGAAUCACUAUUCAGAGUCUUCUACAAGUGCAGAUGACAAGCUGGCAGGGCUACUGGAAAGCCCAGUGACGUCCGUCCACCUUGGACUUGAAUCUGGCUUACUGACGCUACAGGUCAACAGCCUACUAGUUAACCAGCUACAGCUAAUUCUCUAUAAAUUCCCACAAUCAGGGAGGACUGUCAACAUCCAAGACAAGAUCAGAGGGUCCCUACUUUCUAAUCCACAGGCCGUUGGCAUGUUGACGAAGUCCUGGCUUUCACCGCAAGUUAAUUGAAAACAAUGUUCACAUGCACGGCGCUUAGGCCCAGGCUGAGGGAGCUGUUAGCCAAGGGCUAUCCACAGCCCUUGGCUAAGCAUGUGCAGUGUGAAAAGCCCUUAUUCAUACUGUUUCAUUUUGAACAGAGAUUAUGAGAACUAAUAUUACCCUUACAAAGACUACACACAUCCAUUUAUGUAGCCACUUGGGGGUUUGGGUGAGAAAAGAGGGCAGAAAAGCACCAGAAGUCUGAUGGUGGGCACGAAUCAAAGGGGCACUUUUACAAGACUUCAAUUGUGAAGAAGCUGCAGGCAUGUGUGUGUUUAGUUAGCCAGGGGUCUGAAUCUAGAUGGUUUCUUCCCCCCUUUUCCCCCCUAUUCUUUGCCCUUUUCAAAUACAUGGCAGACAUAGUCGGCUAGUGUGCAUCUGCAUCCUCUCAGAAGCUACCGAGAUGUAAUAAAGUAAGGAAUGAUGA